AAGGGAAAAAAGAAAAUGGGAAAAAGAAAAAAGAAAAAGGAAAAAAGAAAAAAGAAAAAAGAAAAGAGAAAAAAGAAAAAAGAGAGAAAGAAAGAAAGAAAAAAAAGAAAAAAGAAAAAGGAAAAUAAAAAAAAAGAAGAAAAGAAAAAAAAAAGGGACUCAGGCGCUGGGAUUUCUUUUCUUCAAAUCUAUGAUACCAGUCUUCAGCACUGCAGAGAAGUCAGAAUAUGCAGGAAGCAGAGACAUAACCAAAUCAGCUGAGAAGCAGCACUAAGAAUGAGACUUGGUUGCUCUGGAAACUAAGAUAAAUUGGAAACAUGGACCCAGGAACCCAAAUGGUGCUGGAACUAUCAGGGAUGAACGAAUGAGCAAAGGCAGCUGCUCAGAUGCAUCAGGCACUUUCCUAUCACAGGCAUCAUCACCAAACCUGGGAUGAAGCAGAGAGAGCAGGACGCUCCAGCUCAGCUUCUGCACAGGCUCAGCAGUGAGCAUACAUUGGAAACCACAGGUGUGGGGAGUGAGAGUUGCAUGGGACUAGGAGCUGAUGGGGAGGGUUGAAAAGUGAAAUUCAAACCUCACUUUGGUCUUUGCAGACAUCCCUGGAUAAAUAAAAGCUCUAUGUGGAAAAACACUGUUCUUGAGGUGUAGUCAUUAGUAGUUCUUAAUUUAUUUUUCCUGCAUCAAUGUCACAAAUAUUCUCCUGGAUUUAAACAAUAAUACUUUUUGUCUUGCAUCCUGUUUCUGAUGGUGGUCAACACUAGCUAAAAGGGAGAGAAAACCCUGAGAAGAUAAUGGUGAGAGUAUAUUACUUCUAAUGCUAAGAAAUGGAACCUGGCCACAGAAAUUAUGAUCAGCCCGUCUGAAAAAUGUGACACAGCAUCAGAAACUGGCAUCAACAAAUAACUGCAGAGUCUGUUCUGCAUCUUCAGAUGCACAGAUGGAGACAGAGUAGAUGGUCUUCUUUUUCUCCAUAAAUUGCUUAUUUCAACUAAGGAGGCUGAGUCAACCUGUCCAGAAACACGACAGAGACUGAUCACAUCAAACCACUGCUAGUAAAGACAGGCUGAAAUAAGUGACUAGGAAAACCGAAAAGCUUUUUUAGAAGAUUAAUGGACUACAUACAUAAUAUUUCGUAUAAAGAACCAGUUUUACUUCCAACGUCCCUGUCACCUAAACAAACAAAAAUGUUCCUCCCCCCAAAUACUGAGAGAUUCUUCUCAUGUUUACUGAAUGAGGUCUUGACAGACAUGGGUAAAACAGAAACCAGUUGUUCAGGUCUGGUAGUGAAUAUCUGGUUUAAAAGAAUCACUUGUGUCUGAACUGCCCAAUACCUUAUGGAAAACAACCAUUUGGGAGAUGGAAUAACCGGUGAGAGACACUACUGUGCUGUCUAGGAGCUGCUACAUGUGUCCUGAAGGGAUCCUUGUUCAUUUCCUCACGAUGUUAUUUCCUUCAGGAGAAAAGAAUAAAAUGUUUCCUGUGCCAGAGCCAGAACUUGUAUUCAUCCACGAGGUGGUUAUAAGGGCCCUUUCUAUGGAUACAACUCUAAGUUUGGAAGUUCUCUUUCCCCACAAACCAAUACAUCUUUAUAAGCAGACAAGGUAGGUAGGUAACUUAUAAUUUAAAAUAAAUAAAUAAAUAAUCAACCCAAAGAAAAUUAAAAAAAUGAGAUUGACAUAUUGUAAACUUACAGUUUCCUUAUUCCUGGCUGUUUUUCUCACACCCAGCCCUUCCAGAAAACACUCUCACCUCAGAUAAUGCCCCUGCUAGUUCGUGAUGCUAUGUCUUUUCAGAGGAGAAAUGGGAAGAAGGAACUUAGGAGAGGGACUGAAGAGUGCUCUUGUGUUUGGAAACCAGUUCCCACCUCAGCUGUGACACAGGCAAAGAUGCUACCUCUGUGGCCUUGUUUUGACAGCAGUACUGCUUAUUCCUACAACAUCCUUCAUUUGUAGGGAUCGUUAAACCAGCUGAAGCCAUUAAGCCAGUUCUGCACACAGAUAAGACUUUUGUGAUGGCAUCAAGGUCUGCGGAGGCUCAAUGCGUUAUCUUGAUACAGCAACCGCCAUUGGUAUAGGCAAGCAAUUUUCUUUAUAUUCUGCAGCAGCUUUCCCAUCCUAGUGAGAGAAGUUAGAGUCAGGUGGCUGAUACAAUUACUGCCGGUGGCUGUGACCUGCUAAGUCUGUGCUAUCCUCCCACGUUGUCUGAAACGGCACUUUUGCCCUCCUUCCCUGCAAAAGGGAGAGCUCUCGUUCAAUAAAUGGGAGGCUGGAUCUUUUGAGGGAAGAUACAUCUCCCAUCUCUUGUUUAACAUUAGGCCUGGCAAGCAGGUCUGGGUGCUGAAGAAAGUGCACCCAGAUUCUGCUUCAUUGCUGGAUUUGAAGCGGGGCAUGCAGAACUACAAAAGGUAAACCUAUAAAUGGGACUUGAGAUCAGAGGGCAAAAAAUAAUCAAGACCUUUCGUUCUUCUUUAAGGUGCCAUUAGGUGCAUUUAGAGGGGACCAACCAUAUAUUUUUAAUGAUGUAGAAUAUAAGAAGAUGGUAACAUUAUAGCAGAAUGAAGCUAGCUCAGUUGCUAGUGAUAUGUAAGGUAAAAAAGGCAGUCUCAAUAGCUUUUUAAAUCAGAAGUACCAUCUGUAGGCAGUUUUGUAUUUCACAGAAAGGAGAUGGUGUUGUGCAAUGAGUCAGAUGCACUGGAGAUUUCAGUUUGACAGAUAGAGUGGCCACUUAAACUAAGGGAAGAUAGGAAAUCCCUAGACUCGGGAACCCAGAGGCAGCCCUCCUGUGUGGCCCAUUUUUGAAGCAGCAGACAUGCAGACAGCUUCUUCCCACUCCCAUUGUUUGCUUAUAACCUCAAGCCUCUUGUCUGUUUAAGGAUCCCUUUCCCCACUUUAUUACUUCUGCUCUGAAGUUACAUUCCCUAAGCACUAACCUAUUGCACAAAAACUAGUUCCCUCAGACACAUUAUUUUAACUACCUGAAAGCUUUCAAAGAGAAACGAAAGAAAAAGCCUGAAUUAUUUUUUGCUAUGUUUUACUGUAUCUUUAGCUACAUUUCAGCCCGUCCUAGGAAGCACCCCUAACUAUCAUCACUCCUUUUAUACUAACUUUUAUCAGCAUUACCUGGGGCAACCCAGUUUGGCUUCUGCCUUGAUUGAGUGGUGUGACUGCUGGGUUAACUCAUUUCCUAAUCAAGCUUGAUAGACCAGACCCUCCCCUUGAAGUUUUUCUUGAUAAAUCAGGCUGUUAAAGAAAAAUAAGCAAGUCUGUUUAAGAGGUCAGCAUGUGAGUUUGGGGCUCUCAGGUCAUGGGCAACUGAAAUGACAUGAGACUCCCUUUCAAGUGGCAGCUAUGAAGAGAGUAGUGGAAGAAGAUGCAUGGGUCCAACUGUGUAGGAAGAGUCCAAGGUUUAUGGGAGGAAGCCCAAGGAGGACUGUGAUGUUUUGCCCUCUUGACAGUUGUGUGACCCAGGCUCCAGAAAUGGCUUCUGCAUUUAUUCAAUACUUGUGCAAACUACAGAGACUGUUUUGGGAGCAAAAAGAAGCAAGCAGUCAUCUCCCUGCUCAUCUGAAUAUCCUAACUGCUAGGUUGGAAAGUCACAUUUCCCUUUGUGCUGCUUUUUUCUGCCUCCGCUCAGGAUGCUCUGGGGUACAGACAGGAUCCUAUUUAACAUCACAGCGAAGCAACAAGCUAUUUCACAUCAUUUUUGCAUCAGCAUAUUAACCAGAAAAAGACUACUAUGAGUUCUAAAUAACCUUAAAAGUGUGAUUUUUUUAAAAAAAAGAUAUCUCAGCAUCUGAUGAUGCAGAUCACCGAUCUGUUGUCCACUUAGCUGCAUUUUUUUCAUACCUUGAUUGGUUCUGCUGCAGUAUGUACCAUGCAAUAUGGAAAAAAAAGAUGCAGUGGAAAAGCCAAGGGCUAGAUGCAUGUUGCAUUUGAGAGGCUUUUCAACUUUCUCCCCCACAAUCAUAUUGUCUGUAUGUGCACAGUGCUGUCUAGCUCUCUAAGGGACACUCUUAUGGCUAUCUUCAUGGUAGUACUUGCAGAUAAUGGAUCCGGCCUUGAAGAUACAUAGAGGCUGUUCCACAGCUGUGUCAGAGUUUCAGGCCACCUGAGUGACUAAUGGGGUGGGUGCCUAGCUCCUGUGGAUCUCUUUGGAUGUAUGUACAUGAAGGAUUUUGAACACACGCAGCAAUGAGGGUGCACAGAAAGAAAUGAGGUGAAGUGGGAGAAAGAGAGGCAGGUAUGUCUGAGUUCGUGUCAUGGCUUGCAAUUCAUUAAAGCAGAAUGGCUCAGAGAAAAAAAGGAAAGUGCCCCAAAAGCCUAGUGCUUGGUGAGUUUACCCCGCUAGUGAGCCUAACUAGUGUGCUCUCUUC